AUUGCUUCUCGGCCUUUUGGCUAAGAUCAAGUGUAAAUGGUCAUUUCACCAGUAAUAUUUUUUACUUUACUAGGUAGGAAGCUAAAAUGUGAGAUGUCCUGCUUAAUGUUGGGCCCAGGGAGAGUCAGGUGGCUGGCCCUCAUUCACACAGCUAGAAGGAGGCAGACCUGGGACUCCAACUCAGUCU